UACGAGGGGGGCGAGCGUUGUUCGGAAUUAUUGGGCGUAAAGGGUGCGUAGGCGGUUUGGUAAGUCUCGUGUGAAAUCUCCGGGCUCAACUCGGAGCCUGCACGAGAAACUGCCGGGCUUGAGUGUGGGAGAGGUGAGUGGAAUUCCUGGUGUAGCGGUGAAAUGCGUAGAUAUCAGGAGGAACACCUGUGGCGAAAGCGGCUCACUGGACCAUAACUGACGCUGAUGCACGAAAGCGAGGGGAGCAAACAUG
rnacentral:rRNA from 1 species